CACACGGAAGCUUCUGCACUUGAACACACCUCCCUCUGCCUCACCCACCCCGUGUCACCCUGCGCCUCCACCCUGCGCUGUCUCACUUAAAGCGCACAGGUGGAGCUGAAGUGGCGCAGUCCGGAUCAUGGAGGCGCUCCCCACAGGUGGAGGAGACGGUGCUGCGGUGGAGCCCACAGCUGUCGUCACCUCUGAGGCGGUGCAGUCUCCAGCAGAAGGCGCUGGAACCGGAGACACUGUUAAAGAUGAGUCAAUGUGUCCCAUAGCAACGAGAGAUGGACAGUGGAUUCACUCGGUCGAUAGUUCUCUGUCGUCGUCCGACAGCGAGGACGAGGGCCUAGGCAAGAAAGACAAGAAGAAAAAACUCAAAAAGAAGAAGAAGAAGAAGGACUCAAGCUCCUCCUCCUCCUCCUCCUCCUCCUCCUCCUCCUCCUCCUCGUCUGACAGUGACUCCGACUCUGAGGAUGACAAGAAGAAGAAGAAGAAGAAGGACAAGGACAAGGAGGAGAAGAACGAUGGAGAGUCGUACGUUUGGGAGACUGUCAUAAUCACUCAGGACGGAGACAGAAUAGUGCAGCAGUCUGUCAAGGAACCUGGAGAGAAAAAGGAGAAGAAGAAAAAGAAGAAGAAAGACAAGAAGAAAAAGGACAAAAAGAAGAAGAAGAAGAAGAAGAAGGUUCAUGAUUCUUCUAGCUCCUCCUCCUCCUCAUCAUCAUCAUCGUCCGACAGUUCAUCCGACAGUGAGGACGACAAGAAGAAGAAGAAGAAGAAAAAGAAGAAGAAGAAGAAGAAAAAGAAUAAGGACUCGAGCUCCUCUUCUUCAUCCUCUUCAUCAUCCAGCUCCUCCUCCGACAGCGACGACGACAAGAAGAAGAAGAAGAAGAAGAAGGACAAGAAGAAGAAGAAAAAGAAGGACAAGAAAAAGGACUCGAGCUCUUCCUCUUCAUCCUCCUCAUCUUCAUCUGACAGUGAAAAGGACAAAAAGAAAAAGAAGAAGAAAGACAAGAAGAAGAAGAAAGACAAGAAGAAGAAGACGCCCUGUGCAGAGGACGGUGAGACUCCAGGACCGAGCGUGGACACAGAUCAACACAUGUAUGAAGUUGUUAACGCGGUCAUUGCACUUCUCAAAGCGAGAGAUGAAUUUAAAGAGGGUUUGAGCGGCGACAAAAAGGAUGAACAGAAGGAGCUCGGUGCAAAAGACGGUGAGACUCCAGGACCGAGCGUGGACACAGAUCAACACAUGUAUGAAGUUGUUAACGCGGUCAUUACAGUCCUCAAAGCAAGAGAUGAAUUUAAAGAGGGUUUGAGCGGCGACAAAAAGAAGAAGAAGAAAGACAAGAAGAAGAAGAAGGACAAGAAGAAGAAGGACAAGAAGAAAAAGGACAAAAAGAAAAAGAAGGACAAGAAAAAGGAUUCGAGCUCUUCCUCUUCUUCAUCAUCUUCAUCAUCUUCAUCAUCAUCAUCCUCCUCCUCCUCCUCCUCAUCUUCAUCUGACAGUGAAAAGGACGAAAAGAAGAAGAAGAAGAAGAAGAAAGACAAGAAAAAGGUCAAAUGUUUUGUUUGUUGAUGUUCCAUCAAAAUGAUCAAACAUUUGUGACGUAAAACUGCAGCAUCUGAGACGUCACCUCCAGACAACGAUCAAUAAAAUGAUCCAUGAUCAUUUAUCAGUUCAUUAGUUUGAGACAACACGCACCAACAUGCACCAACACGCACCAACACGCACCAACACGCACCAACACGCACCAACACGCACCAACACGCACCAACACGCACCGGUGCGUGUUGGACUCAGGGCUGCCCUUUGUCACCGGUUCUGUUCAUUAUAUUUAUGGACACAAUUUCUAGGCGCAGUCAGGGGCCGGAGGGGGCCUGGUUUGGGAACCACAGG
ensembl:lncRNA